rnacentral:rRNA from 1 species
CGGCUCAGUAACACGUGGACAAUCUGCCCUAUCGUGGUGAAUAAUCUCGGGAAACUGAGGGUAAUACACCAUAGGCCUCCGGCACUGGAAUGUCUGGAGACCCAAAGCUCCGGCGCGAUAGGAUGAGUCUGCGGAUGAUUAGCUAGUAGGCGGUGUAAUGGACCACCUAGGCUAUAAUCAUUAAGGGUCUUGAGAGAGAUAGCCCUGAGACGGAAUCUGAGACACUAUUCCGAGCCUUACGGGGUGCAGCAGGCGCGAAAACUUUGCAAUACACGAAAGUGUGACAAGGGGAUUCCAAGUGUGCAUAUACCAUAUGCACUUUUUCGAAGUUUAAAACGCUUUGGGAAUAAGGGGUGGGCAAGACUAGUGCCAGCCGCCGCGGUAAAACUAGCAUCUCGAGUGGCAGCCACAAUUACUGGGCUUAAAGCGUCCGUAGCUCGUUCAGAAAGUCCCCGGUGAAAUCCUAUGGCUUAACCAUAGGGCUUGCCAGGGAAACUCCUGGACUUGAAGGCAGGAGAGGUCAGGGGUACGUCCGGGGUAGGGGUGAAAUCCUAUAAUCCUAGACGGACCAACAGUGGCGAAGGCGCCUGACAUGAAUGCGCUUGACAGUGAGGGACGAGAGCCAGGGUCGCGAAACGGAUUAGAUACCCGUGUAGUCCUGGCC